AUUAACAUGCAAGCAUUAAUAUAUCCUAUAAAGGGGGCUAACGUUCUGGAGCUAAGGAACAAGCUAGUACAGAACAAUAGGCAGAGCAAGAAGUUUAGCCACGAGCUUGUUGUCUGCGUUUGUCCACAGUUGGAAUAAAGACAUCAGUUGAAGUACAUUAAAACUGUGGUGAUACCUUGGCACUUAAGGAUAUCACAACACGCACACACACACACACAGACAGGCAGGCAGAUAGACAGACAUACUAUCCCUCUUUGUUAUUACCUGUCUUUCUUUCUGUUGUACAUGGAAAACCACUGAGAUGAAGCCACCCCCCUCUGAGUGAGUGGUGAUCUCAUGAUAAGCCAACAGUAGGCCAUAACUUCGUUAUUAAUUUCAAUGGCCAAAGAAACUAGUUUGUGUUCAUAUGGUGAUGCUGUGUGCUGAUGCUAAUCAAACAUUAUUUUGUGUUUAUCAGAUAAUUCAGGGAUUGCUGCAUCUCAGUGCCUUCACGUACAACGUGGUGGACACCAUUUACCUAAUGGAUUAUUACACCGCAGGUGUACUUUUAUUUGGUGACAGAGCUACUACACGUCGCCACACUUUACCUAAGGUAAACUUCGAUAACUUUGACGGAAUCCUGUCAUUUGUCCACGUGAACAAAAAUCACUGGAACAUGCUGGUAUGUUGAUUCAUUAAUAUUCAUUCAUUCAAAUGUGGGUUUUCACAUAGUGAAAUAAAGUAUUGCGGCGAGUAUCAAGGUCAUGGUCAAGGUUGCUUUAUUCAUACCCUUGGGUAAAUUUGGUUUGCAUGUGUAUCGAUCGCCACAUGCAGCGAUGGAUACUCAUCAACUUCUCAAUACAGUAUUUUUCCGAAACUGUACUUGGCUUAUUAUUUCAUCCACUCAACUCAUUUGGCGACUGUGAAAUUGGCAUAGGGAAACUUUGAUUCUAAGUUUACUUUGACCCAUCACCUUUUUUCUUGCUUUGCAUGCACUCUCCCUGCUAUUUCUGGGAAUUGCAUCUCUAGUUAAAGAAUACCCUCUCUUUUUUCUCAGUACAUUCAUGCAAAGUCUGGUACUGUGUACCAAAUGGAUCCCUCACCAGCAUCCUCUGAGCUUGAGGACUCUACCCAUGCGGCUCAGAGACUACAGUAAAUAUUCAAGCUAGGAUUCUAAACAUUAAAAUGUCAAUCAUGUUUACUUUUAUUCUACAAUGGCAGCUGUGGUGUUUUGAAGAUAUUUCCAUAUACCUUAUAAUUGAAUACAAACUUUGCUAAAUUGUAUCUGUGGAUGGAAAAUGUUUUGGUAGCACUUAAAGAAAAGUAUCACAUUUCUUCAGGGAAUACUUGAAGAUUAGAAAACAUCAGGGGAAAACUGACUGGGUGGAUGUGAAGUGGAAAGGAGGAGUGAUGCCCCACCCAGUGCAAAUGGAUGGUUGCAGCUGUGGUGUCAUUGUUGUUGAAGUAAGUUGAUAUAUGUAGCAUAGAGGAAACAUGAUGUUUCUUUAAUUUUUGUGAUGAUGGAGAUAAGCUUACAUUUGGGUGUUUCCACAGAUAUACAAGAUGAUUUCAAAGGAUAAGUUCACUAUUGUGUACUUUGAGCCCCCUUUCUCGGUUGGCUAGGAUGAAAUAGAAUGGUUGACACUGAAAUGUUGACGUUUGGUCCUGUCUCUGGGUAUUUGGCUCAUUUAGAAUCGCCCCUGCCUGCUUCAGAAUGGCUGCCUAUGGGCAUUUACGAACCAUGAAUGCCCAUAGGCAACCAUUUAGAAGCUGGCAGCAGUGAUUCUAAAACCUCCCCACCAAGCAUGUGUUGACAAAUGGUUUAGUUUUCUAUUAAAAGAGAAAGACAAUCACUUUAAUGUUGUUAAUUCAGAUGGCCAGAGCAGUGAUGGAAGCCUUCCCUGAGUUCCCCAAAAUGAACUUCUCAACAAAAAGGAGAGCCAUGGAAGAGGCGAGGAGAGAUAUGGCUCUCCAAGUCCUUGAAUCAUCAGGUAUACAAUGCAGUAUACAUCUUUUUUUGAAUAACUUAAAGGCAUUCCAAAUAUAUUCUGAUUAAGGGCCCAAUUUUGAGAAUGAUAUGGUAACAGAAUUGGUGAAUGUGAUUGGCGAAUGCAAUUUCCCUUAGCCACAGGCCUUGCCCAUAUCAGAGUCUCCACCGAUUACCUCUUGCGGGUUUAAAAAAAGGCACAUACCAUUUGCCGAUAAAAUCCCCAAAAUUGGGCCCUAAAUAUGUCAUGCAAAUACACUUUAUUUCAGUCUUUGAUGAGGAGACUUGUUCGAUGUGUGGAGCUGACAAGCCCCCUGGACAAGCACCUCCCGUUACAGACUGGGUGAGUUGUUGUGAGCAGCACAUACAUUUUGUAACGUAAUGUGACAUACAGUGUUGGUAGUAACUAGUAACAAAGUUAAUUAACAAAGAUAAUUCAAUUUUGAUAGCAAUAUGUAAAAAGGCCAAGAAAGUUGAAGGGGUUCAAUGUUCACAGAAAACUUUCUUUGAUUCAAACUUAACCUUUGCUAUAAUCUGCUGGUUUGGUGACCUGAGUCUAACAAACAAAAACAGGGUUUGUUCUACUCGGUCUAUCCUCAGAACAACGAGAGGCAAUGUUGAUAUUAUGACCAAAAGGGGGCGUGCCUCCGUGAAAUGCCGCAAGACAGCUGGGAGAUGUAGCCUAGGCCUACACCUUACGACUCGUACGGCCAGUUCCAUACAACUGGAUCGCGGCAUAACUGUCCUUCUCUUCCUUUCUUCAAAGCUCAUCUCAAGACCUUUCUGUUUAACUUCUCUCCCACUCCAAACACAUAGCUCUAUCCUCUAGACUAGAGGCUCCCUUUGUUUAGUUUAGUUUUUCUCUUUUUUUGUAUUGUUGUUUGUUUGUGGUUGUAUUUUCAUUUCCACUAUGUGAAGUGACCUUGGGUUUGAGAAGGGAGCUAUAUAAAUGGAAAUUAUUAUUAUCACUAUUAUUAUUAUUUACCUGUUUUGAAACCAAAUUGCCCCGUAAGGACAUUUCAGCUCAAUUAAAUUCACCUGGAGGGUCAGGUAACGCAAAAGUAACAAGUGACAUAAGGCAUUACUCCACACAAGUAACGUAAUGAAGUAACUUCCCCAAUGCUGGUGACAUACCACUUAAGCCUAAGUGUCCUACCAAGUGACAAAGUCAUGUACAUGAAUGAAUCAUUAAUUGUUUUUUCAAUUCAACAGAUCCAGUGUGAUAAUUGUGACCGGUGGUUCCAUAACCUUUGCUUGAACAUGGACCAAAAUAAGUUAAAGGAACUCAAGAAAAGGCAAUGGCUGUGUGUUUUAUGCCGAUGACAAGGUUGAGGAAAAUUGUGCCUCGUCCAAGUGCCAGGUUUUGUUUAGAAAUGUGAUUAAAAAAAACGUAAAAGGCGUGUUAACAUCAGAAGAUGUGGAAAGCAUGAAUGGGGAGGGGAGACACACACACACACACACACACACACACACACACACACACACACACACACACACACACACACACACACACACACACACACACACACACACACACACAUUUCCAUUUCAUCUAUUCUCUCUGGUUACAGCCAUAUACACUUUGAUAUUGGAUCCCUUCCACUUACUUUAACCCUAGGCUAUACCGUAAGGACUGAAGAUCAAUGCCUGAUUACCAAAAGAUUCUGUUGAGUCAGUGUAUAAAACACAACAGCUGCGUUGAUUGAGAAACGCUUUACACCAAUACUGUGCAUAGUCUGAUUCAUUGCCAUGGAUUGCAAGAAGGAAAUAUUACAGAAAGGUCUGAAGUUAAAAUAUAAUUUGCAAGUUCACAUAAUGAAGUGGGAAAACAAAUGAAGGUGUGUUUGAUUAGUAUAUCAUGAAUGGAAUUCUUAAAAUAUUUAAAGAAAAUUGGAGGUGCAAAAUAUUAAUUUUUAAGGAGGUGUGUGUUGUUAUUACCAUAUUGUAGGACAGGUCCACAUUGGUCUGGGGCCUCUGGGUCCCAUAACUCGGAAGCUAUUGAGCAAAAAGCAAUUUCCCAUAGGAAACUAAUGGGAUUCUUAAAAUAUUCAAAUAAAAUUGGAGGUGCAAAAUAUUAAUUUUUAGUGAGGUGUGUGUUGUUAUUACCAUAUUGUAGGACAGGUCCACAUUGGUCUGGGGCCUCUGGGUCCCAUAACUCGGAAGCUAUUG
ensembl:lncRNA